rnacentral:rRNA from 1 species
AACGAACGCUGGCGGCAUGCCUAACACAUGCAAGUCGAACGAGACCUUCGGGUCUAGUGGCGCACGGGUGCGUAACGCGUGGGAACCUGCCCUUAGGUUCGGAAUAACUCCCCGAAAGGGGUGCUAAUACCGGAUAAUGUCUUCGGACCAAAGAUUUAUCGCCUUUGGAUGGGCCCGCGUUGGAUUAGCUAGUUGGUAGGGUAAAAGCCUACCAAGGCGACGAUCCAUAGCUGGUCUGAGAGGAUGAUCAGCCACACUGGGACUGAGACACGGCCCAGACUCCUACGGGAGGCAGCAGUGGGGAAUAUUGGACAAUGGGCGAAAGCAUGAUCCAGCAAUGCCGCGUGAGUGAUGAAGGCCGUAGGGUUGUAAAGCUCUUUUACACGGGAUGAUAAUGACAGUACCGGGAGAAUAAGCUCCGGCUAACUACGUG